UAUGGCCAUAUUUUCUUUAGACUACCGGUUCCCAUAUGAUCACCAAAGAUAAGCAAUGUCAAGGCAGGUCAGUACCUAAAUGAGUGAUCUUUUGGGAAUACGAGGUGCUGUAAG